GGCCCCAGCUCCACUCAGUAAAGACAGCCUCCAUCGGCACCCUGGGCAGGGUGCGCCCCCCCAUGCCAGUCACGGUGCCCGGUGCGCCAGAUGUGCCCGAGACCAGCAAGAUGCUGGAGGAUGUAGACAGUGUCCUUGCCUCCCUCCCCUCCUGUUCCUCCCUUGCUCCCCGCAGUAACCCUGUUCCUUUCCCUCAGAGCUACGAGCCUGAUGAGUUGACAGAGGAGAUGGCCCACCUAGAGGACCUGAUGAAGGACCUGAACGCUAUAACCACAGCCUGAGAACCACGCUGCUCACACACACACAUACAGGCAGACACACACACACAAAUCCAGGUAGUGACACACACAGGCAGGAACACACACAGGCAGGAACACACACACUGCCAGCCCUCAGAAAACUGGGAGCCCGAUGCCCGGAUACUAAAUGKAUACCGGCAAUGGAUCCUACACACCCCACUCAAGACAAACAAAAMAUCUAAACUGAAACUUUUCAACUUUUGGCUUACCUUGCUCAGUCUCAGGAAGGAGAUGGCCAUUUAAAAAAACGACAGUUCACCUUUUUAUGAAGAAACAUUCUCAGAGACGAUAUCUAACAUUGGUCGCUUUCAACCAGAAGAUUGUGAAUUUUCUCAGCAAAAAAACUGAAAUGCAUUAGAAGGUUGCUCUCAUACUUUGGUUGCCGGGGAGACCGCUCCUAUGGUUGCCGGGGAGACCGCUCCUAUGGUUGCCGGGGAGACCGCUCCUAUGGUUGCCGGGGAGACCGCUCCUAUGGUUGCCGGGGAGACCGCUCCGACAGACAUCAUAUUGUGAUUCCAAGUCAAGAGGAAGAGUCAAAUAUGCCGGUAUUUCAUGUUGGUGCUCACGAAACACAAUCUAAACACAGUGUUUGUUUAAUUAGUGUCACUUAUYUGUGCGUUUUUGUAUAUCUAUUGCCCUGUUUCAGUGAAGUGAACUUUGGACAACAGUCCCCUCCAUUUCCAUUAAAGCGGUCAUUUUAUAGCUAUCAUUUUGAUCCAAUGACGUCUGUUUUCCCUACUCUGUAGUUUAUAUAUUGUGCCAAGUCUCAUUAUUCUCUAAUAUGCCAUGUAUUUUUUUACAUAUCCGUAUAGAUAUGUACAUAUGUUUUUAAAAAACGGCCUCAUUCUAUUCCCCCCAGCCUAGCCAAUCAUUUCAUUUCAUUUGGAGGGAGAUGACAGAAUAGACCCUCAAACGCUCGCUUUUCAUAUCUUGUGGGGAGAUGCUUGCGUGUUAGUACAUUACAUUUGAAUGGGUUCUUGCGUUCUCUGGCAUUGUGUCGCCCUUUGUACAUUGAAAUGUUCAGUCUUUUUUUGUUUAUGGGAGCUCCGUUUCAAAAAGCCUUAGGAAACGUGUCGUACGUUUACAUUGGAGAUACUGUGCCCUCUUGUGACGUUUUCCAGUUAUGGACCCUCCAGAGGCUGCUGGACUCGGAGUGCCUCACCCCGCAAUCACACAUCCUACCCAGUCAGUCGUUUCAAUGGAAUGGCAAUAUAUCAUAGAAAGUGCUAUGAAAUGGAUGUCUUGUUUCCAAGAGCCAAUAUUUGGUUGAAGAGGUCUGUUUUUUGCUCUUGAUCUCUCUCUGUCAUGUGAAAACCAGGUUUUUCAAUCAAGGAUAAGUGUUUACUGUUAUCUGAGGUCUCUUAAAGAAUACUGCUUCAUCGCUCUUUUUAAAUGCUACUUGCAACGAUGUUGGCCUAUUGAAUGGGACUCCCAGAUUCAGAUUGUUUUUUACAUGUAGUUUGUUUUGUAUGAAGAAAAAAUAAACUUGUUCUGUACACAAUUCCAAUGUAAAAAGAAAAAAUUAAAUAUGAUAUGUAAGAAGCUAGUUUUUCAUCUGCCCUCUUACCCAAAGAAAUGUAUUGCAAUCGUAGUUACAUGCUCUACUUUUGUGAAUACCAUGUUCUUCAUAAUGUACAUCGUCAUGAAUGUCAAUAUAACUGUAAGAGAUUUUACUUAUGGAUACAAAAGAACAUGUAAAAAAUAAAAAAAGGACUGUAGGAAAAAAAAAGACAGGACGCUAACCCGUGGGAAUAACCUAUUAGUUGUAGACAGUCAAGCCUGUAUUGCACUUUUUCACAAUUUUUGAAAACAAAACAAAAUUUCUUCCAUAUCUUGUGUUAUAAAUAUAAAAGCGAUGUUUCUGUAACGUAGUGUCCUAGUUAGCAGCAGGCAGCUGGUCUUGUUUAAUGGUCAUUUGCUUUUGAGAUAUGAAAUUGAGCGGCAGGUUUUACUGUGCUGCUGAUGAGGUAUUCUGUUGCUUGUUUCUGUACAGAGAUCUCUUUGCUUUCUGUAGAAUAUUCUGUGGCUUUUUAAAAAAAAAAUCAAAAUGUUUGACAAAAAAGUUAUUUUUAUUUUUAUUGGUGCUCUUAUACAUUGUGUAUCCAACUAUUAUGAAUACUAACAAAGUUGAAGUUUCUA